rnacentral:rRNA from 1 species
GAAUAUUGCGCAAUGGGCGAAAGCCUGACGCAGCGACGCCGCGUGGGGGAUGAAGGUCUUCGGAUUGUAAACCCCUUUCGGGAGGGAAGAUGGAGCGAGCAAUCGUUCGGACGGUACCUCCAGAAGCAGCCACGGCCAACUUCGUGCCAGCAGCCGCGGUAAUACGAAGGUGGCAAGCGUUGUUCGGAUUCACUGGGCGUACAGGGUGUGUAGGCGGUUUGGUAAGCCUUCUGUUAAAGCUUCGGGCCCAACCCGGAAAGCGCAGAGGGUACUGCCAGGCUAGAGGGUGGGAGAGGAGCGCGGAAUUCCCGGUGUAGCGGUGAAAUGCGUAGAGAUCGGGAGGAAGGCCGGUGGCGAAGGCGGCGCUCUGGAACAUACCUGACGCUGAGACACGAAAGCGUGGGGAGCAAACAGGAUUAGAUACCCUGGUAGUCCACGCCCUAAACUAUGGAUACUAAGUGUCGGCGGGUUACCGCCGGU